UACGGAGGGGGCUAGCGUUGUUCGGAAUUACUGGGCGUAAAGCGCACGUAGGCGGCUUUGUAAGUUAGAGGUGAAAGCCCGGAGCUCAACUCCGGAACUGCCUUUAAGACUGCAUCGCUAGAAUUGUGGAGAGGUGAGUGGAAUUCCGAGUGUAGAGGUGAAAUUCGUAGAUAUUCGGAAGAACACCCGUGGCGAAGGCGGCUCUCUGGGACGGUACUGACGCUGAGACGCGAAAGCGUGGGGAGCGAACAGG
rnacentral:rRNA from 1 species